rnacentral:rRNA from 1 species
AUUGAACGCUGGCGGCAUGCCUUACACAUGCAAGUCGAACGGCAGCACGGGAGCAAUCCUGGUGGCGAGUGGCGAACGGGUGAGUAAAGUAUCGGAACGUGCCCAGUCGUGGGGGAUAACGUAGCGAAAGUUACGCUAAUACCGCAUACGAUCUCUGGAUGAAAGCGGGGGAUCGCAAGACCUCGUGCGAUUGGAGCGGCCGAUAUCAGAUUAGGUAGUCGGUGGGGUAAAGGCUCACCAAGCCGACGAUCUGUAGCUGGUCUGAGAGGACGACCAGCCACACUGGGACUGAGACACGGCCCAGACUCCUACGGGAGGCAGCAGUGGGGAAUUUUGGACAAUGGGCGAAAGCCUGAUCCAGCCAUGCCGCGUGCAGGAUGAAGGCCUUCGGGUUGUAAACUGCUUUUGUACGGAACGAAAAGGUUUGGCCUAAUAAGCUGAGCUCAUGACGGUACCGUAAGAAUAAGCACCGGCUAACUACGUGCCAGCAGCCGCCGUAA